rnacentral:misc_RNA from 1 species
UCGUAACAAGGUCUCCGUUGGUGAACCAGCGGAGGGAUCAUUACCGAGUUUACAACUCCCAAACCCAAUGUGAACCAUACCAAACUGUUGCCUCGGCGGGGUCACGCCCCGGGUGCGUCGCAGCCCCGGAACCAGGCGCCCGCCGGAGGGACCAACCAAACUCUUUCUGUAGUCCCCUCGCGGACGUUAUUUCUUACAGCUCUGAGCAAAAAUUCAAAAUGAAUCAAAACUUUCAACAACGGAUCUCUUGGUUCUGGCAUCGAUGAAGAACGCAGCGAAAUGCGAUAAGUAAUGUGAAUUGCAGAAUUCAGUGAAUCAUCGAAUCUUUGAACGCACAUUGCGCCCGCCAGUAUUCUGGCGGGCAUGCCUGUCCGAGCGUCAUUUCAACCCUCGAACCCCUCCGGGGGUCCGGCGUUGGGGAUCGGGAACCCCUAAGACGGGAUCCCGGCCCCGAAAUACAGUGGCGGUCUCGCCGCAGCCUCUCAUGCGCAGUAGUUUGCACAACUCGCACCGGGAGCGCGGCGCGUCCACGUCCGUAAAACACCCAACUUCUGAAAUGUUGACCUCGGAUCAGGUAGGAAUACCCGCUGAACCUAAGCAUAUC